rnacentral:rRNA from 1 species
GACGAACGCUGGCGGCGUGCUUAACACAUGCAAGUCGAACGGAAAGGCCCUGCUCUUGUGGGGUGCUCGAGUGGCGAGCGCGUGAGUAUCACGCGAGUAACCUGUCCUUGUCUUUGGGAUAACUCCUGUGGACUGGGGCGAAUACCGGACAGGAGCUCCUGCUGCAUGGGGGGUGUUGGAAAGUUUCGGCGGUUGGGGAUGGACUCGCGGCUUAGCAGCUUGUUGGUGGGGUAGUGGCUUACCAAGGCUUUGACGGGUAGCCGGCCUGAGAGGGUGACCGGCCACAGUGGGACUGAGAGACGGCCCAGACGCCUACGGGAGGCAGCAGUGGGGAAUAUUGCACAAUAGGCGGAAGCCUGAUAGAGCAACGCCGCGUGCGGGAUGACGGCCUUCGGGUUGGAAACCGCUUUCGCCUGUAACGAAGCGUGAGUGACGGUAAUGGGUAAAGAAGCAACGGCUAACUACGUG